rnacentral:lncRNA from 1 species
CCCGAGAAACCAGAUAGUGACAAACUAGAUCGAGAUCCAAUUCCGGGUGGCAUUCUUCCUCUUCUUAAGCAAAACGGUGUGAGACAAGAAGUGUGUUCUAACAUCACAAGGGAGAACGGAGCAAAUACCAAACCACACAUAGAUCUUCUGCCAAACAGGCGAUCUAUGAUAUUUUCGGGAAGUUAAAACAUCACCUAUGAUAUUUUUGGCCAUGAUUUACGUUUGUCAUUAUUUC